AGGCUUAACACAUGCAAGUCGAGCGCCCCGCAAGGGGAGCGGCAGACGGGUGAGUAACACGUGGGAACAUACCCAUCUCUGCGGAACAACUCCGGGAAACUGGAGCUAAUACCGCAUACGCCCUUCGGGGGAAAGAUUUAUCGGAGAUGGAUUGGCCCGCGUUGGAUUAGCUAGUUGGUGGGGUAAAGGCCUACCAAGGCGACGAUCCAUAGCUGGUCUGAGAGGAUGAUCAGCCACAUUGGGACUGAGACACGGCCCAAACUCCUACGGGAGGCAGCAGUGGGGAAUAUUGGACAAUGGGCGCAAGCCUGAUCCAGCCAUGCCGCGUGAGUGAUGAAGGCCUUAGGGUUGUAAAGCUCUUUCACCGAUGAAGAUAAUGACGGUAGUCGGAGAAGAAGCCCCGGCUAACUUCGUGCCAGCAGCCGCGGUAAUACGAAGGGGGCUAGCGUUGUUCGGAAUUACUGGGCGUAAAGCGCACGUAGGCGGAUAUUUAAGUCAGAGGUGAAAUCCCGGAGCUCACUUCGGAACUGCCUUUGAUACUGGGUAUCUUGAGUAUGGAAGAGGUAAAGUGGAAUUGCGAGUGUAGAGGUGAAAUUCGUAAGAUAUUCGAGGAACACCAGUGGCGAAGGCGGCUUACUGGUCCAUUACUG
rnacentral:rRNA from 1 species